CAACAAGCAGCCUAACCGUA
rnacentral:snRNA from 1 species